rnacentral:piRNA from 1 species
AGGUUCGAAUCCUGUUCGUGACG